rnacentral:rRNA from 1 species
UACGUAGGGGGCGAGCGUUGUCCGGAGUUACUGGGCGUAAAGCGCACGCAGGCGGUCUGCUAAGUUUGGAGUGACAGUUGGUGGCUUAACUGCCAAAGUGCUUCGAAAACUGACAGACUUGAGGGCUUACAGAGGGACACGGAAUUCCGGGUGGAGUGGUGAAAUGCGUAGAGAUCCGGAGGAACACCAAAGGCGAAGGCAGUGUCCUGGGGAGUACCUGACGCUCGAGGUGCGAAAGCCAGGGGAGCGAACGGG